GCACACUGUACAAUAGUCCAUACGUAGUAUAGACAUCAAACACCCUGUACACUCGGACAAGGUAAGCUCCAAAAGGGGUCGAGGAACAUAAUAAUAUUGUUCUGUUGUUUUUCCCCCUAACUAGUAUAAAUAUAUAUUGAUAAAGUACAAUGUUCGUGUCAACGACUCUUCCGCAUGCUUAGGGGAAGACUUCGCGGCAGGUGGAUAUCAUCCGAUGUCAGACGGAAAUUAACAAAAAAAAACAUUACCGACACAAAAUUAAUUAAUACACACAAAUAUAAAAUAAAUUUAAAA